rnacentral:rRNA from 1 species
UACGUAGGGGGCAAGCGUUGUCCGGAAUCAUUGGGCGUAAAGAGCGUGUAGGCGGCCAGAAAAGUCCGCUGUGGAAAACUCGAGGCUCAACUUCGAGCUGUCGGUGGAAACUUUCUGGCUAGAGUCCGGAAGAGGAGAAUGGAAUUCCUGGUGUAGCGGUGAAAUGCGCAGAUAUCAGGAAGAACACCCGUGGGCGAAGGCGGUUCUCUGGGACGGUACUGACGCUGAGACGCGAAAGCGUGGGGAGCGAACAGG